GCUAGUAGCCAUAUCACUCUGCAACUCACAACUGGCAACCCACUGGAGCUCAGCAGGUACGAGCCUGGUUAGUAUCUGGAUGGGAGACCUUCUGUGAAAAACUAAGGUUGCUGCUAGAA
rnacentral:rRNA from 1 species